rnacentral:rRNA from 1 species
GACGAACGCUGGCGGCGUGCUUAACACAUGCAAGUCGAACGAAGUGGCGAACGGGUGAGUAACGCGUAAUCAAACUGCCCUUCAGAGGGGGAUAAAAGUUGGAAACGACUGCUAAUACCGCAUAACGAAGGAGGGGAUUGCGUCGGAUUAGCUAGUUGGGGGGGUAACGGCCCACCAAGGCGAUGAUCAGUAGCCGUUCUGAGAGGAUGAACGGCAACAUUGGGACUGAGACACAGCCCAGACUCCGACGGGAGGCAGCAGUGGGGAAUCUUCCGAAAUGGACGAAAGUCUUACGGAGCAACGCCGCGUGAGUGAUGACGGCCUUCGGGUUGUAAAGCUCUGUUAAUCGGGACGCGGUACCGGAAUAGAAAGCCACGGCUAACUCCGUGCCAGCAGCCGCGGUAAUAC